rnacentral:rRNA from 1 species
GACGAACGCUGGCGGCGUGCUUAACACAUGCAAGUCGAACGGAAAGGCCCUGCUUUUGUGGGGUGCUCGAGUGGCGAACGGGUGAGUAACACGUGAGUAACCUGCCCUUGACUUUGGGAUAACUUCAGGAAACUGGGGCUAAUACCGGAUAGGAGCUCCUGCUGCAUGGUGGGGGUUGGAAAGGUUCGGCGGUUGGGGAUGGACUCGCGGCUUAUCAGCUUGUUGGUGGGGUAGUGGCUUACCAAGGCUUUGACGGGUAGCCGGCCUGAGAGGGUGACCGGCCACAUUGGGACUGAGAUACGGCCCAGACUCCUACGGGAGGCAGCAGUGGGGAAUAUUGCACAAUGGGCGGAAGCCUGAUGCAGCAACGCCGCGUGCGGGAUGACGGCCUUCGGGUUGUAAGCCGCUUUCGCCUGUGACGAAGCGUGAGUGACGGUAAUGGGUAAAGAAGCACCGGCUAACUACGUG